UGGGGGGAAGCGCAGGCUGCGUCCUGAUGAGAAAUGGAAAUCUGGCUCCAAGUCAUCCUUCCUGUUGUUGACAUCACCUGAAAACUCCGCGGAAGAGAUUUCCACUAGUUCACUGCGAGCAGCAGCUGCCCCUGAGGACCCAGCACCCCGAGCAGCGCACCAGACCGUGGUACGGACACUCAGCACUGGAGAGCCUUCAGGCUGAAGCUGGCAUCCCUGUUGUCCUCAGCCAGAGGCUGCCCCUGCAAGACAGAGCUGUGACAUGUUCAUCAGAAAAAACUGAACAGAAGAUCCUU